ACACAUUUAAACUUCAUUAAAACAACUUUAAAAACACACAGCGGAAGUCUAAGUCUCACAUGGCCAUCUUAGACACAGUCACAAAACAUAAGUAGGGACACGGCCCUUUACAAUCAAAAGAAGUCUAUUAAGUCUAUUACAUGAACAAAAGAACUUAAAAGUCUUAUCCUCGAAUCCAUGAGGACAUACCAAGUCUUGGAGGAAAGCAAUCCAACACUUCAAACUAGCUAGGAGGGAUCACUUGCCGGAACCUACACUUAUAGUAAAAAUAUGAAGAAUAUGGGUUAGUACACAAAAUGUACUAAGUAUGAUGACCAUGCAAAACAUGCUUUAAAAGGGACAUUUUGGUUAGAAACCAUGCAUUAUGCCACUUUUUGAAGUACCAUGAAUAGUUGCAUAAAAGACAUACAAUACAAGCAUAAACAUCAAGUAAGUCAUAAUAUUACCUUAAACAAUUUCAACAUGAAAACCUUUACCUUGGACCUUCACCUCAAGAAACCCUUAUGCUAUACCUCGUGCAAUGUAUGGAUGGCGUCCCAUACCACCAUCCAUACUAAGGCACCACAUUAAGGUCACUUAAGGUAACUUAUCAUUCCUUUCUUUCACCUUUGCACAAUAUUCAUACAUAAGAGGUAUAUCAUUAAUUAAGACAUGACAAGGGAAAAUAACUCGUAAUAUAACCCAAGUAUAGCAUGCAUCUCAUAUUAAGCAUUUGAGAGCCAACAUUCUUUAAUAACCUCAUUUAGGCCACAAUUGUAUCACAUACAUUAGGAUUUAGAGAAACUCACUAUGACCCUCUCCAAGCCUACUCGUGCAAUGUAUAGGUAGCAUCCCAUACUACUACCUACACUUUGUAGAACCUAUCAAGAAACCAUAAUGAAAUCUCACAUGAUGGGAAGUAAGCAUUUAACCGACAUAGACCAUGAGAGCUUGUCAUGGAAUCCGGUGUCAUAAGUCCCCACACCGUAAAGAGGUGGUCUACUUGCCUAAGGAAGACCGGUAUAUAUAGCUUAAUGGAUCCACUAGCUUCCUAUGCGGGCACAUAGUUUAUGGGAUAAGGUAGACGAUCAUUGAAACUCAUGCCUAACUAUUGGGGGAGUUUCCAUCUAACCAAAUCCACUCGGUGCUUAGCCAACAUUCCCAUAGAAUAGUUCGUUAUCUUGACAUUAUCACAUAUGAGAGGUGCCAUUGGCCUACCAACUCCAAAUUACAUUUAUUAACACGUGAAAGGGUGCUUUAAGCCUACCGUUUCAAGGUUCAUUUAGGAAAGCUCAUUAACUCCUCUUGAAAGGGUGCCAUGGGCCUACCGAUUCAAGUCUCAUCAUUAACCUUUAUGGAAAGGUGCCAUAGGCCUACCGAUUCCAAGGUUCAUUACUAAUCAUUAAUGGAAGGGUGCCAUUAGCCUACCGAUCCAAGGAUUCAACAAUCAACAAUAUAAUCAUUUAUACAAGAAAAUGAUGCAUAAGCCCUACCAAUUCAAGGUAUACUUUAUAUUGAAGAAUCCUUCAUAUUCUAUCAUCAACAUUCAUGAGUGUCAAAUUGAGAAAAAUCCUUUCAAUAAUAACACAUUUACUUUCAUAACAUGAUCACAUUAGCUCCAUUGAAUGUCCAUUCAUAAAAAUGUCAUGUAACACUUAAAUUUCUCAUACUAUGCCUUCAAGGCCAUGGUCACAAUGUAACAAACAAGUAAACAAUUCUAAGUCAACAUUAGCUCCUCAUGUCUUGCCUUUAAGGCCAUGGUCACAAUACAUUCCAUAAUUAAACACCUCCACCAUAAGUGGAUCAAACCAAGCAAGAACAAUUUUAUCCAUAAUAUGAGAUUAAGCCAACUUACCAUCCACCAAAGCCAUAAUCCUCAAUUCAUCCAUAUACCAACAAUUCAUCAUAAAUAGAUAUACAAAACCAUAUAAAUCAACAAUACAAUCCGAUCUAAACACAAUUUCAUCAACAUUAAAUCAUAGGCAUUAAACCCACUUCAUAAGCAAAUUCAAGGCUUUUAAUGAAAACAUGGGUUCUUGAAGAAGUUUCAUAUAAAAUCAUCUUAAAAUCAUAAAUAGAACUUCAAUUCACCAAUAUAAUGACUUUGAAAACAUUUUACCCAUGAACCCAUAACUAGAAUAGAAAAUAGAAGUUUUGUUCUUUGAAGACUUUUGAAACCCUUUUUAAUGGACUCCUUGAAGGAAAGAUAAUCAAGGAUCAAGGGUCACCAUACCUUUGCUAUGAUCUCCCACGAAAUUUGAUGAAGAAAGCCUUGAAUCCAAAACCCUAACUCCCACUUCUUCUUCUUCUUAAUGGAGGAUUGUAGAGAGGGAAAUGUUUUAGGGAUGGGAAUUGAACUAAUGGUAUCUAGGAAAUAAUAUAUGUCAUUUGGAAAAAAUGGUCCAACACUUAGCCUCUGAGCUAAGUUUUUGAGCACUAAUCUCAAAUCACAGAAGAAGAAUAUUUUUAAACAUAAUGAGCUAAGUAUAUUUUUGGGAGUAGUAUUGAGCACCGAUAUGGGGGAGAGUUCAGACAACUCACAACCCUCAUAAAUCAUGUAGCCACCAUGGGUAGAAAAUGGUCGUACUUUUUAGAUGAUUCAUUUAGUGCUUUUUAGCAUAGACUAGUGGAUCCACUUAGUAGUUUAGGUUCUAUACUCAUGGCAAGGUAUAGGACGACCCUGGCAGCGUGAGGCAAAACGUUGUAUUAUCACAUUAGCUCUUACGUGAUGGUUGUCGGUUAGAGAAACUUCCACAGAAGUUAUUGUAUUCUUAUAUACUUAGUUAUUUGUAUUUUUACAUACAUUUCAGAGUUUUGUUGUACCCUUACAUACACACAGAGUUGACAUUAUGUUUUUAAACAACUUUUCUUUAUAUUGCACUUGUUUUAAACUGCUUUAUAUUGAAAUGAGUUCAGUUAUGUUGAGUUGAGUUGUGCCAGGUAAGUUCUUCAUAUUCCUUUCAGGCAUAUGUUGUAUUUAGCAUUCCAACUCGCAUACUCGUAGAUUCAAUGUACUGAUGCCAGUCGGCCUGGAUCGUCUUAUGAUGCAAACACAGGUAACUAGGAUCGGCAUCCAGCACAUCGUUGAUCCAGUGAGCAGUUCGGAGUUAGUUGGUGAGCCUCCUUGCAUUUCGGAGGACUCCUUUUAUUGCUUUCAGUUUUAUUAUCAGAUCAAUAGGAUGUUGUGGGGCUUGUCCCAACAUCCAUCUCAGUUGUUUUUAAAGGCCUCAUAGAUAGUCAGACAAUUAGUUAUGAGUCUUUUAGAUUUGUAUUUCAGAUGUUUUGCUAUGAGACUUGAGUAGCCAUUUUGGCUAGUUUUGAAUGCUUUCUUUAUAGACAUUCUAAGAUUUUUCAUAAGUUCCUUAUUUGAGGUUAUUUCUAAAGUUUAAGUCUUCCGCUGAGUAAGUAAGUCAGGUCAAGGGUUCGCUUGGGGCUAGCAAUGGUUCUCGAGUGCCAGUCCCGCCCAGGGCGUGGGCUCGAGGGGUGACAUGAUCCUUCCCUUUCCGGAUUCAUUCCGCUUGUUCUUGGUCUACAAAGUAUCAAUAUAAUACGAGAAUCAAUAAACAAUCACUAAUUACCCAAAUUACUAACAAUUCUAUGAACCCUAGAUCAAACCCAUGAUCCUAAUUAUCCAAUUUAUGGUUGUUUCAACCAUAGAAUCCAUAACCAAACCCUUCCCCAUCAAUAUUCACCCAUUCUAUUACGUUCUACGGAUCGAAAAAUGGAUUCGGGGAGUGAAAAGCUUAUCUUUAGCCUCAAGAAUGGUGAAAAACGAGUAGGAGUCGCCUGGGGUUCGUUCCUUAGCUCUAAAAGUCGAAAAACACAUAAUGAGGUCGUUUAGGGGUUUAUUAACGGCUUUAAUUCACACUGAUCCCGCCACAACGGCCGUCACCCCGCUGUAGCGUCCCCGCUAGAGUGGCAAAACCCAGCGCCAAAGCGGGUUAUGCAAGACAGAGAGCUAAUUCAAGAAUUCCAAAAUUCUCAUUUCACAACACACCUCUAACCCACGAUGCUCAUAAAAUACCCUUUACGCUAAGAUCGAUUCUGGGAGUUCUACUCACCCGAAUUCAAUUAUGUAAAGUCGGACGGAUUCUUUAACAGUUAUCUAAUUACUCAUGUAAUCAAAAUCAUAAUUAAUUCACCCGGUUGCUACCAGAUUUCCCUACACCUUAAAGUCUUCGAUUUCGUCCAAAUCUGGACUAGGUUAGGAAAUUUCAAAUCACUACUCAAAAGUUUUCUGGCCCCAAUUCUUUCCCUAUUGGCUUUUCCCUAACGACGGAAAUCAAGUCGUUACAAUAAACAUCACAUAUAUUUGUAGGUCAAUAUUUGACUUUUAUCUUCAUUUUUUUUUUAAAAAAAAACACAUUGUAAAUAUAGAUCCAGUGGUAAACCUUUUACUUUGUGUAUCCGUUUUAUUUCUAUGAUUUAUGAUUCUAUAUCUUGAUUAGAAAAUAACUUGUUUAUAGAUAUAGAUAAUUGAACGACAUGAACAAGUUUGUCAAUUUAAAAAAAAAGAACUCGUGAAUAAUUUUUUAGAACAAAAGAAGAUAAAAUGGAAAUAGUAUCAUGUCUGAUCCGUCCAAUAAAUUUUGUGAUCAGACGAUUAAACAACACAUAAGUUUGGUGGCAACUCAAAUAUGGAGAAAUGAGUUUUUGGUUUGAUAAUUGGACAAAACAAGGAGCUUUAUAUUUUAUAGAGGACCAUGGUGGAGGGGAGGAAGAGAUAGAGGUGAAAAGAUUCAUUACAAAUGGAGAAUGGGAUAUUCAAAAGCUGGGACAAAUAGUGUCGAAAGAGAUGAUCUUGUACAUUACGGAAUGCAUUACCCCCCGUCUGACGGAGGAGGGGGAUAAAGCUUGGUGGAUGGGAAGUACAAGUGGGGAAUUCACAAUCAAAUCAACUUUUGAUAUGCUGCGAUGUAGAAGGGAGAAGGAGGAAUGGAGGGCGAAUAUGUGGGGCAAACAGAUUCCUUUUAAGCUUAGUUUUUUACUAUGGAGAAUUUGGAAGGGAAGGAUUGCCACGGAGGAAAAUCUUAAAAGGAUGGGGGUUACUAUAGCAUCGAGAUGCUAUUGUUGUGAAGAGUUUGAGGAGGAAACUAUACAACAUUUAUUUCUAACAGCUCCCAUAGCCCAAAAGCUAUGGAAGCAGUUUGCUUCAUGUGCAGGUAUUCAACAACAUGGGUGUUUGAAACAGAUGAUAACAGGAUGGUGGGAAGUUAACACUCCUAUCAAACUGAAAUUCAUUUUUCAAGCAAUACCAAGCAUUAUACUAUGGGAAUUGUGGAAACGGAGAAAUGCAAGAAGACAUGGAUUGGAUAUAAAUUUUUAUAAGUUGAAGAGUCAGUGUGUCAACACUAUCAUACAAUUGAUAAACAUGAAAUAUCCAUGGAUUAAAGUUCCUAAAAAUUGGGGAGAGAUGGUCAAAAUACUUAAGGAGUACAAACCCAGAUUGCAUUACUGUGCGGUGAGCUGGAGGAAACCUCAUAAUGGUACAAUAAAAUGCAACACGGAUGGAGCUAGUAGAGGGAAUCCUAGAGAAAGUGCCUAUGCAUUUUGCUUAAGGAACGACAAAGGAGAUAUUGUAUAUGCGGAGGCAGGGCAAUUGGGAAAUAGAACGAACAUGGAGGCAUAAAUAUUAGCAGUCUUUAAAGCACUAAGACAUUGCAAGAGAUAAUUUCAACAAUUACAUUCUAGAGACAGAUUCUCUAAGCAUUACAAAUAUAAUUCGAGGUAAUUGGAAGGUACCAUGGCAGCAGGCAGAGGAAAUACUGGAAAUAAUAGAGUUAAUUAGCUCUACACAGGCAAAGAUUCAACAUGUGUUUCGGGAAGCUAAUAAACUAGCAGAUAAAUUGGCAAAUGAAGCAUUUGAGCAAACGAAUGCAAUACAAAUACAUGUUUUCCAACAGUUAUCAGUGGAAUGUAGAGGAAUUGUGAACAUGGAUAAAGCAGAAAUUCCAUCACUACGGAUUAAAACAAGGAAGAUAACAGUACAAGCAACACAUCAGGGGAGGGAUAAAAGAGAUUAACAAGGAACACAGUUAUGCUAUGUACAUCAAAUUUUUCCACUAUACAGGCAUACAUAACUGUGAAGAAAACAAUAGUCCUAGCUAUGUCAGCUUACAAAAAGCUCCACCAGCAAAAACGAAGUCGAUCAAAUCAGAUACGGAGAGGUUGUCUUGGAAUAUCUAUGUCCGUCUCAAAUCAGUGUGGAGUAAGGCAAAAAUGAAAAGUAUGGAGAUGUGCUUACAUUUUCCAAGCAAUAGCUCAGGACUUGGCAUCAGAUCCACUGCACCACCGAAGUUUACCACUACAAAGGAAGCCGAGGUCAGGAAGGAAGAGUGAUUGGCAUUACAACACAUAAAUGGAGAGGGGGGAAGACUUACUGCUGCGAGCUUCGAAUUAUCAGAGUAAAGGAGGUCAGGAGAUACACAUAAAUAAUUCACAACUUGAGGACAUUUUGUUCCUCAAAGCUACUGUGUAAGAGGCGGAGGAGACAAAGAGGAUGCAAAUGGAAAUCUUACUCUCUUUUAUAGUAUGCCAUUUCCCUUUGGAUUGGCCCACAUUUUUUCAUGUUUUUUGUUUCAUUCCUUUGGGCCUAUUUUACAGGUCUAUAUUUGUAAAUUUUUGGGUUUAUUGAAAUAAAUAAAGGAGCUAACAGCUCCAC
rnacentral:lncRNA from 1 species